GCCUGGGUGGCUCAGUCAGUUGAGCAUCUGACUCUUGAUCUCCACUCAGGUCAUGAUCCCAGGGUCAUGGGAUCGAGCCCCAUAUCAGGCU
rfam:Felis catus isolate Cinnamon breed Abyssinian chromosome B2, whole genome shotgun sequence.